GAUGAGAACGCAGUGAAAUGCGAUAAGUAAUGUGAAUUGCAGAAUUCAGUGAAUCAUCGAAUCUUUGAACGCACAUUGCGCCCGCCAGUAUUCUGGCGGGCAUGCCUGUUCGAGCGUCAUUACAACCCUCAGGCCCCCGGGCCUGGCGUUGGGGAUCGGCGGAAGCCCCCUGCGGGCACAACGCCGUCCCCCAAAUACAGUGGCGGUCCCGCCGCAGCUUCCAUUGCGUAGUAGCUAACACCUCGCAACUGGAGAGCGGCGCGGCCACGCCGUAAAACACCCAACUUCUGAAUGUUGACCUCGAAUCAGGUAGGAAUACCCGCUGAACUUAAGCAUAUCAAUAAGCGGAGGA
rnacentral:misc_RNA from 1 species